UAGAGUUUGAUCAUGGCUCAGAUUGAACGCUGGCGGCAGGCCUAACACAUGCAAGUCGAGCGGCAGCACAAGGGAGUUUACUCCUGAGGUGGCGAGCGGCGGACGGGUGAGUAAUGCCUAGGGAUCUGCCCAGUCGAGGGGGAUAACAGUUGGAAACGACUGCUAAUACCGCAUACGCCCUACGGGGGAAAGGAGGGGACCUUCGGGCCUUCCGCGAUUGGAUGAACCUAGGUGGGAUUAGCUAGUUGGUGAGGUAAUGGCUCACCAAGGCGACGAUCCCUAGCUGUUCUGAGAGGAUGAUCAGCCACACUGGGACUGAGACACGGCCCAGACUCCUACGGGAGGCAGCAGUGGGGAAUAUUGCACAAUGGGGGAAACCCUGAUGCAGCCAUGCCGCGUGUGUGAAGAAGGCCUUCGGGUUGUAAAGCACUUUCAGUAGGGAGGAAAGGGUGUAGUUUAAUACGCUAUAUCUGUGACGUACCUA
rnacentral:rRNA from 1 species